rnacentral:rRNA from 1 species
GUGUCCCUACGGGACGCAGCAGUGGGGAAUCUUCCGCAAUGGGCGAAAGCCUGACGGAGCAACGCCGCGUGAUCGAAUGAAGGCCUUCGGGUUGUAAAGAUCUGUUGACAGGGACGAAUAAGCAAUGCGAAUAGUUUUGUGUAUGACGGUACCUGUUUAGAAAGCUCCGGCUAACUACGUGCCAGCAGCCGCGGUAAUACGUAGGGAGCAAGCGUUGUCCGGAAUUACUGGGCGUAAAGGGCGUGUAGGUGGGCGCUU